rnacentral:rRNA from 1 species
UACAGGGGGUGCAAACGUUGCUCGAAAUUAUUGGGCGUAAAGCGUCCGCAGGUGGCAAUGUAAGUCUGCUGUCAAAGCGUCUGGCUCAACCAGAUAAAGGCAGUGGAAACUACAUAGCUAGAGUAAGGUAGGGGUAGAGGGAAUUCCUGGUGUAGCGGUGAAAUGCGUAGAGAUCAGGAAGAACACCGGUGGCGAAAGCGCUCUGCUGGACCUUAACUGACACUGAGGGACGGAAGCUAGGGGAGCGAAUGGG